AUAAGGUAUGCUUCCUUCUUUUCUUAUAAUUGAAUUAAGAUAUGUCGCUAACAUUUUCUUGUUUUUUUAGGUCGUCAACCGAUAAUUCUGCCCCCUAGUUGUGGACUGUCUUCACCAUCGCUCACUCCGAACAUAAACAAAGGGGCCCAAACUAAACGAACAUACCUUUCGUAACUAGUUUGAAGUUUGGAAUGAUCUUCGUUAAUGUCUAUUCUUUCUUUCUUCUACUUGUUGAGGACUCUUUACUUCAAAUGUAUCAUUGUUAUGUAUUUUGGACUUGUAUGUUGGACAUUUUCCCACAUUUUCUCCCUUGUGAGAAUGUGAAAUUUUUUUCCCUCUGUUUCUUAAAGAAGACUAUGUCGAGCUCAAAGUUAUUAGAAAAAUAUUAUGUUGUAUUGUUAAA